GAUGAACGCUGGCGGCGUGCCUAAUACAUGCAAGUCGAGCGAAUUGACAGAGGUGCUUGCACCUCUCGAUUUUAGCGGCGGACGGGUUAGUAACACGUGGGUAACCUACCUAUAAGACUGGGAUAACUUCGGGAAACCGGAGCUAAUACCGGAUAAUAUUUAGCUUCGCAUGAAGCAAUAGUGAAAGACGGUUCUGCUGUCACUUAUAGAUGGACCUGCGGUGUAUUAGCUAGUUGGUGAGGUAACGGCUCACCAAGGCAACGAUACAUAGCCGACCUGAGAGGGUGAUCGGCCACACUGGGACUGAGACACGGCCCAGACUCCUACGGGAGGCAGCAGUAGGGAAUCUUCCGCAAUGGACGAAAGUCUGACGGAGCAACGCCGCGUGAGUGAAGAAGGUUUUCGGAUCGUAAAACUCUGUUGUAAGGGAAGAACAAGUACGUUAGUAACUGAACGUACCUUGACGGUACCUUACCAGAAAGCCACGGCUAACUACGUGCCAGCAGCCGCCGUAAAAC
rnacentral:rRNA from 1 species